rnacentral:sRNA from 1 species
AUGAGUGACUCCAAGGAACCAAGGGUGCAGCAGCUGGACCUCCUAGGUAAGGCUGAGUUGGAACUCUGGGAUCCUGGGUAAGGGGAAGGGAUGGCCCAGGCUCUGAGCUGAUGUCUGUCAAUUCAGAAGAAGAUCCAACAACCAGUGGCAUCAGACUUUUUCCAAGAGACUUUCAAUUCCAGCAGAUACAUGGCCACAAGAGCUCUACAGGGUGUCUUGGCCAUGGUGCCCUGGUGCUGCAACUCCUCUCCUUCACGCUCUUGGCUGGGGUCCUGGUGGCCAUCCUUGUCCAAGUGUACAAGGUCCCCAGCUCCCUAAGUCAGGAACAAUCCGAGCAAGACACAAUCUACCAGAAUCUGACCCAGAUUAAAGCUGCAGUGGGUGAGCUCUCAGAGAAAUCCAAGCUGCAGGAGAUCUACCAAGAGCUGACCCAGCUGAAGGCUGCAGUGGGUGAGUUGCCAGAGAAAUCCAAGCUGCAGGAGAUCUACCAGGAGCUGACCCAGCUGAAGGCUGCACUUGGUGAAUUGCCAGACCAGUCCAAGCAGCAGCAAAUCUAUCAAGAACUGACCGAUUUGAAGACUGCAUUUGGUGAGUUCCUGUACAUUGGGGGUCCUCGGGCCUGAGAUGGUCUCUGUGUGAUGUGACUUUACUUGAGUUACCAACACUGGCUGAGCCUCAGUUUCCUCCCCUGUGAAAUGAGAACAAAGGGUAACUGCGAUCAUUGCACUUGGUGUUCACAGUGGGCCAGGCACACAGUAGGCACUCAGUUCAACCAAUCCGCUGCCUUCUGUUCUGAGCUCUAAAGCUGCUACUUCUCCCAGUCUGGAGGAGAUGGAGCCAGGACUCCUGGGUUCUCCUGGGGAUCAGGGAGAGUCUUGGGAAGUAGGGAGAGGAAUGGUCUCUCCCCAUUCCAAACCAUCCACCCGACAUGGACAGUCAAGGAAGGGCUCUGAUUUUCAAGGGCUUGAAGGCUGGGCAGAUACGGGAAUAUGGACAACCUAAUCUGAGCCCAGCCCUGAUCAGCCUCCCCCAACAGAACGCCUGUGCUGCCACUGUCCCAAGGACUAGACAUUCUUCCAAGGAAACUGUUACUUCAUGUCUAACUCCCAGAGGAACUGGCACGACUCUGUCACCGCCUGCCAGGAAGUGAGGGCCCAGCUCGUCAUAAUCAAAAGUGCUGAGGAGCAGCUUCCAGCGGUACUGGAACAGUGGAGAACCCAACAAUAGCGGGAAUGAAGACUGUGCGGAAUUUAGUGGCAGUGGCUGGAACGACAAUCGAUGUAACGUUGACAAUUACUGGAUCUGCAAAAAGCCCGCAGCCUGCUUCAGAGAUGAAUAG